rnacentral:rRNA from 1 species
GCGAACGUUAGCGGCAGGCCUAACACAUGCAAGUCGCACGAGAAUCCGGCUUCGGCCGGUAGUAAAGUGGCGGACGGGUGCGUAACACGUGGAUAAUCUGCCCUUCGGCGGGGGACGAACAGUCCGAAGGAUUGCUAUACCGCAUACGUCAGCGAGGUCCUCGGACCUCGUUGGGAAGAUGCCUCUUCAUGAAGCUAUCACCGGAGGAUGAGUCCGCGGCCCACUCAGCUAGUUGGCGGGGGUAAUGGCCCACCAAGGCUUAGACGGGUAGCUGGUCUGAGAGGAUGAUCAGCCACACUGGGAACUGAGACACGGUCCAGACUCCUACGGGAGGCAGCAGUGGGGGAAUAUUGGGCAAUGGGCGCAAGCCUGACCCAGCCAUGCCGCGUGAGUGAUGAAGGCCUU